UACGGAGGGGGCUAGCGUUAUUCGGAAUUAUUGGGCGUAAAGGGCGCGUAGGCGGCCUGCUAAGUCGAACGUGAAAUCCCUGGGCUCAACCCAGGAACUGCGUCCGAUACUGGUUGGGCUUGAAUCCGGGAGAGGGAUGUGGAAUUCCAGGUGUAGCGGUGAAAUGCGUAGAUAUCUGGAGGAACACCGGUGGCGAAGGCGGCAUCCUGGGACCGAGAUUGACGCUGAGGCGCGAAAGCCAGGGGAGCAAACGGG
rnacentral:rRNA from 1 species